CGUACGCACGCACUUGCCACAAGGAGACGCUGUUCAGUUUACCGGAUCCUGUCCCGCGCCAGCCAACCAGGACAAGGCCGGGGAGCUCGAGACAGGCAGCCUAGACCAAGAACCGGAAGGAGGAAAAGGAACCGGAGGGAGGAAGAGGAGGGGCGGGACGAGACCACCAGGCAGGAUUUUUAAGCCCAGAGCUGCGAGACCAGCAGGAAGGAACUGGGAGAAACCAAUGGGGAGGGGAUGGGGGCGGGGCUGAGAGGAGGAGGGCGGAGCUGGGGGAGGGGAAGGGCGGGAGUGAGGAAACCGCUGGGGCGGGGUUGAGAGUGGGGCGGGGACUUGAGGGGAUGGGGCGGGGACUUGGGAUGGGGCGGGGACUCGAGGGGGUGGGGCGGGGCUGAGAGAAACCAUUGGGGGCGGGGCUAUGGGCGAUCUGGGCGAGGAGAGGCUGCAGGAGGAGCUCGCGGACUCCUGAGAACCAGCGCGGGGAGGGAGGGGGCUGGUGAGAGGAGGAAGGUGGGGCUGAAAGAAACCAGUGGGGAGGGGUUGGGGGCGGGGCUUUGGAAGCUGGUGCUGGAGAAGCAGGGCAGGGCUGGGGGAGGAGUGGGGCGGGGCGGGGUUCGGGGGGGGCUGGGGCUCGGGGAGGGGUGGGGCGGGGCUGAGGGAACCGCCGGGGAGGGGCUCGGGGGCGGGGCUUUGAAAACAGCCUUUGGAGAAGCGGGGCUGGGGGGGCGGGGCAGGGCCGAGGGGAACCUCUGGGGUGGGGCUGGGGGGUGGGGUUUGCACGCAGCCACAGGAGAAACAGGGCGGGGCUCAGAAAAGGGUUGGAUCGGGCUGAGAGAGACCGCUGAGGGGGGUGCUGGGGGCGGGGCUUUGGAAGCACCCGCGGGAGAAACAGGGAGGAGAUGGGGAGAGGCGGGGCUCGGCGCGGGGCGGGGCUUCGGAGGCAGCCGCGGGAGAAGCAGGGGGGGGUUCGGGGCAGGGCGGGUCUGAGCGAAGCCAUUGGGGAGCGGCUGGGGGCGGGGCCUUUUAACCAGCCGCAGGAGGAGCCGGGUGGGGCUGGGGCGGGGCGGAGCUGAGAGAAACCGCUGAGGAUGGGCUGGGGGCGGGGCCUUGGAAGCAGGCGUUGGAGGGGCGGGGUAGGGCCGGGCCGAGAGAAACCACUGGGGAGGGUCUGGGGUCGGGGCUUUGCCAUCAGUGGUGUGAGGAGCAGGCCGGGGCAGUGGGCAAUUGAGCGAGGAACAGCUGCGGGAGGACUCCGCGGACUCCUGAGAACCAGCUUAGGGGAGCGGCGGCUUGGGGAGGUGUAGGGUGGAAUCACGAGAAAGCUCUGUGGGAGGGCCUGGUGCACAGCUCAGCUGCAGGGUGGAGCUGAGGGAAAGCCGGGCGUUCCUGGAGGAGGAGCAGGGCGAGGCUGUGGCAAAGCGCUGUGGGAGCAGAUGGGGCGGGGCUGCGGGAAAGAGCUGGAGAAGGAGGAGCCAAGCUGCACCAAGGCUGGCGGGUGAGAAUUGCGGGGGAGGAGCUAGUGCAGAGCUGGAGGAAAGAGCUGAAAGGUUGUUGGGGUGGGCAGAGGGGUAGGAGAAGCGAGACGGGGCUAGAGGAGGCGGAGCUGGGAGCGGUGAUGAAGGGGUAGCAGGGCGGGGCAGUGGGAAAGAGCUGUGGGAGGAGGAGCUGGGGGUAAGAAGCUGGGGCUGUGGCUGCAGCGGGGACUGGGUCAGAGCUUCUGGAGGAGCCGCCUGCAAGAGGAGGGCGUAGUUGUGGGAAAGAGCUGUGGGCGGAAAUGGUUAAGUGCCGGGUGGAGCAGGGGCUGGCGUCGGAAUAGCUGGGGCGGAGCUGCGGGAGGAGGAGCUGGGGGGCGGAACUGUGGGAGGAACAGCUGGGGCGGAGCUGAGGGAGGAGGAGCAGGGGGGCAGAACAGCUGGGGUGGAGCUGUGGGCGGAGCUGCAAGAGGAGAAGUUGGGGACGGACUUGCAGGAGGAAAAGCUAGGGGUGGAGCUGUGGGUGGAGUUGGGGGAGGGAGCUGAGGCCCUUCUGUGAUGCACCCUUAGGCAAGAGUCCAAACUUUCCCGCGGCGACCUAACUGCACCUCCAGUGUCUUCCCCCAGAGGGCACAGAAGCAGCAAGAAGGGCGGGAACACUUGACUGGGGUCCAUGCAGCUCUAGGCUGAGUCUUGCAGGGCUGAGCCCCCCAGGCCUGCUCUCCUGUGUCCUGGCCGCUCCGUCAGUGCCUGCCAGUGGGGUCCAGAGGGACCGUUUUUUUAACGCCUCUUUUGCAGUCUCCCGCAUUGACUUCAUAACCAAGUUCUGGGUCCCUGCCUCUGGAGUGCCUGAUGAGACAAAACGGCUCCUCGUCCUGCAUCCCCGCUGCUACUUCCAGAAUUCAGGCCUCGUGGUCUGGAGCCUGCACUGUUCCAUGAGCCUCCUGAGCAACCUGGAGUCCUCUGUCUUUCUUCCCUCAGUGAGAUGCGCCUACUUCUCCCUGGAGAAGCUUGAGGAAGCAGAAAUGCUGGAGAUGAGCUGCUCCUCACUCUCACUCCUGGGUGUGCUGGGCAGUGGGGUGCAAUGUGCACGUAGGUGCACACUCUCCCUGGGCGGCAGCGAGCAGCAGAGGUCUGAUCUGUGGUCGGAUGACGAGAGGAAGUGCAAGUAAAGCAGCUGCAGCGAGACCUCGUCCGCACAGGGGCUUGUUCUUCUGUGUCUUUGCAGGGCUGUUUUGGACUCAGUAUUCACCUAAGCACUCCAAAUUACCCAGCACACCCUGCCUGCAUGGCGCUGCGCUGCACCUUCACUCUGGUCACGGGUCUGGCAGUCAGCUCACCAAUUCCUCCUGCUUCCCUGGGACUUGCCGGCUUUUAGCACUGCAAUUCACUCAGCAAACUGGGACUGUUGGUCACCCUACCUGGCAGCCAGUGAUAAGACUUUGCUGCUCGCCCAUUGCCUGGAUCGGGGGCUACUUUGUAAACCACCAGGAAGACUCCAGUGUUUCUGGUUAAUUUUUAGAUGUUUGUUAAUUGCUCUUGGUCUCUCAUUAAUCCCCUGUGGGUCAUCCAGGAAACAUACUCACCACUGUCUGUUCUCUGAGUUUUCAUUUCCAGGCAUCCGCCCUGCCUGGAUCUCCUCACCUGCCAGGAACUUCCUCUCCACAAGCCGGCCAUCCCAGCAAAAGUUCUAACACCAAAGGUCUGGCAACUAGCCUGCCAUCUUGUGCCUGGAGCCGCCUGCGUGCCACCUACUCCCGAAGAUGGGAACCUUGUUGCCAGUUGGGCAGAUGCGGGGCAAUCCUGUACCAAGACCCCAUUUUACCACCUGCUUUCUCAGACCACUCUGGAACCCACUGUCUCAGAUUGUGUCCUCCAGGAAGCAGACCAUGAGAGGGAGUUGGCAGGGCCAAAGAUUUACUGGGGCUAACUAACACUCAGGAAAGGGAUAGGAAGGAAACAGGGCUGGAGAGCAGGUUGAGCCCGACCUGACAGUCUCGAGCAGCCCAACAGGGAGGUGUGGAGCAAGGGUUGCCCACUAGAGGGGCCUGCAUUGGGUACGGGUGAUGGGGUCCACAUGGUACCUGGCAUAUAGCAGGCUGUGCAAUCCAUAUUAACUGACUGGAUAAAUUAAUGCCCAGAAAAGGUGCCCUGGAGAAUGGGUGUGUGCUGAACACAAUAGGGAAGGGCCCAGCAUCUGCCUUGGCAUAGGCAGAACUGUGCUGUGCCCUGCAACAGGCCACCUGAGAGCUGCUUUGAUCUUGUGUGUACAUUAGAUGACUGCCAGGGGCAUGAAGGGGAUGUGCUUCCAGGGCAUUUGCUGGCAGGGCGUCUCGUGAUCUCUUGGUAUUGGUGUGAGCACAGCCUGGCAGGAGAGGGCAGAUCUCCAUGCAAAGUAUGUCAGAAAGCAGAUGGAAGCCAGGCCCCCUCCUGAAAGAGGCUCCUUGAAGGCUCCUGGGACCACAUUAUCAUUCUCUUCACUCGAGAGAUGAGGACACUGAAAUUCAGAGAGGGGAAGUGAUUUGCCUCAGCUUGUACUCCUCUCCUCCCAGUGCUGCACUUCUAAUCUCUCUGCAGAAAGAAACAUUUCAACAGAGAACCCAGUGGAAAUUAUGACAUGUUAUCUUCUCAGAGUCCUGAACUCCCAUCCCUACCUCAGAAGAGACUCCUCUGUUCACAGAAGCUAAAGGCAGUUCCUUCCCAAUGGCAACUAUGUUUGGAUGUUGGAUCUACACUUUCUCAAGCACUGUGAUCUUCAAAUCAAAGGAGAUUUCUCCCAUUAUAUACUUCUUAUGAUCAACAAAUUCCAUCAUCUCCCCACUAAGAGAAAGUACUCCAAGAUGAUAGAAUGAUUUUAAAGUUAUGGGACUACAACAGCAGCCACAGGAACCUUGAGUAAGUACCAUGAACCCUGACCCUCAGCGUUAAUUUGUAAGCCUUUGGCAGUGAGAUGGAAUGUCUUCCUUCAGUUUGAAACAAAGGAAACCUAUUGCAUCGCACGUAAAUUUGUAUAUUGAUGCUAUAUUGACUUUGUAGCUGCCAUGCCUUCAUACAGACACCUCAUCCAGCCCCCACUGUUCCACUUAUUGUGAUGGUUUGUAUAUCUUUAUUUCAAAGAAGAUCUGUUUGAACCGUGUUUAAUUUCUUCUUUGACCUGCUUUCAUCACUGCCCAUGCCUACCCUGGUGGCAUUCUCAUCCACGAGACUACCACAUCCAUGCCACUAGGUGGCAUUCUCAUCCAUGAGACUACUGCACCCGUGCGCACGUCAAGAAGUAGCCAAGCCAUGGGCUGGAUUGUGCUUUUCCUGAGAGGAUGAAAGGCUUCAUGGAUACAUGCUAGUAUCCAUGUUCCUCUAUUCUCAAGUCAGGCACCAAGAUGAUGUUUCAUACCUGCCUGCCUUUCAAAGUCUCAUAAAUGUUCAUUGAAUAUCCACUCUAUGCAAGGCACUAGGGUAGUCACAGAGGCAAGGUUUGAGCUAAACUACAGGCCCUGCCCUCCAGGAGCUCCCGGUCUCAUGGCAGGGUGCAGAAGCCAGAAUAGAGGGCCAUGGCAUGGGAGAGAACUCUGCUGACCGGGAGCUCUGAAGGGUUAGGGGUCCAUGAGCCUGAUUUAUGGGGUCGUUGCCAUAGGAUUAGGGGCUCCCUGGCAUACAGUGAAUGGAGAGACUAGCAUUGCUGUGUUAUUUCACUGAGAGGGCACCAAUGUUCAGCCUCUGAGACCAGGGGAGGAAAGCAGUGGCCAUGAAUGUUCCCUCCCAUCCCGGGGACUGACUGGGCUCCUCCCACAGUCUCAGACACAGAGGAAGAAGUGUACUCACACUGCCCCAACACCAGUGAGUGGAAAUAUUUAUAGGUCUCUCAUUUGGUUUUAAUUUUUAUUUUUUUAUUUUUCAGAAAUUAAAAAAAAAAUCACACUCACAAAAUUAACCAUUACCCACAUUCCUACCAACAAGAAGUAACCAUUCUUAACCUUGUAAUAUGUUGGUUUCCAGAUUUAUGUUUAUGCUUUAAAAAAUUAUGCAGACAACAUAUUAGCACAUUGCCCCUUUUCUCAUUUGUUUUAAUCCAUGUUCUUCCCAUUUAUACAGGAGCAAUUCUUGCAUUCAGUUAUGGGAUACUAUAAAUGCCUAGUAUAAUGGCAGCAGAGAGAAUUACUAUGGUUGUAUACCUUUUCUCGCUCCUUGCUCCUCAAAUGCCUUAGAGUUUAAAAUCUAUUGUGGAAAGUUUGUGAAAUGCAGAACGGUGAAAAUAAACAAAUUACCAGUGGUUCUUUGGCUUCGGGAGAACUGUAAUUGAUGUUCAUUUUGGUAUAUUUCCCUCCAGUAUUUUUUCCAUAUGGUUUUAUUUUUAAAAAUUUU
rnacentral:lncRNA from 10 species